GCAAGUAAAGCAAUGCUCAUUUCUUAAAGUAUAUUGUUUGCAUUCAGGUUUAUGAAAGGCACCACCACUCUUAAGAAAAAAAAACCACCAUGGAAAUGCGGAAUGGCCUGGAGAGGAAACUAGAGGAUGUUAAUCAGCACUAGAGGGACCAAGGUCUGAAGGCAACGUAGAGGUCUAUGAAAGGGGAGAUCCAAGAGACAUUAGAGAUUCAGGACAAUUUCACGUUGAGUAUUAGGAGCUAUGGAAAGGAAGUGCUUCAGGACACACAGCACAGGGGAUGACCGGUGGUUCAAGGUCUGGGACAUCUCGAGGAGUGCUUGGAUCAACAACAGUUGCCUAGCUUUCAACUAUCUUCAUCUCUUUGUAGGAAUUUCCUUGUAGCACACAAUGCAUUUCAGAAAAAAUGAAUAACAUAAAACAGUA